AAACAUCACUGAUGAUGUUCAUGAAUCCCCAGCUGACUCUGAUGGAGUCAGAAGACAACAGUCACCUGAAGGGGCUGAAAAUUGUAAAGACCCUACAGAACAAUCAGUAAAUGUGAGUAAAUCUGUGAUUCUGUGAGUAACACACUGGGUUCAGUUUGGAGGUUGAACUCUCACUCACCAGGCCGACAGCCGUCUGUGCCACAGUUAAACUCAUGCAGUGCUAAUUUAAAAACUCUCAAAUAUUUUGGACAAUUUAUAUUUUUCUAUCACAAAACAUACAAGUCUUCAUUGAAGUAAACACACAGAGCAGUAGUGGAUUUUUUUUUAAAUAUUAUUUUUCUUUAUUUUGAUUUGCUGCUAACUGCAUUGGUUCUAUUUGUAGUUUUUGUAGUAGGGAGCACUACAAAAACUACAAAUAAAAAAAUCCAAUUAACAAAUUUUGUGCUCUCUACUAUCAGAACCCCUCACUUGAAUUUUUGUUUUUCAGUUUAAGCCAAUUAAAUUCAAUCCAAAAAUUCAACCCCAACAAUCAAGUGAUCCCCUAUGAGCAAGCACAAGGCAACGGUGGACAGGAAAAACUCCCUUUAACAGGAAGAAACCUGUGACAGAACCAGGCUCAGGGAGGGGCAGUCUUCUGUCAUGACUGGUUGGGAGAUGAGGGCAAAAUAAAAUUGAACAUAAAGGAGAGCACAGUAUAGUUAUGACAGGUUGUGGACCGUGGCUGGAAAACAUUAUUACUGUUUUCAAAAGGCACCCGGUCGACAUCCACAAUUACAGUAGGGCUGGAAUGGAUAAUAAGGAUAAUCCCACAGAGGACGGACAUUCACUUCAGCUGAAAAUAUUUGAGACGGCCCAGCAAGCUGCAGGAACAACAACGGCUGCUGUGACAAGACCUAGACCUACUUUAAGUGCGAGUUUGGCACCAGCACGCCACCAACUACUAGUCUGAGCCUCAUCAGGAGGUGGUUCUGUGACAGGAGUGUUAUGUUCCUCAUGUUCAGCUGCACGUGUAAUUAUUAAACGCUGUGAUACUUCCGCUUUGAUCACAAGGUUGUUUAAAGCACUCCUGAUUUUCGCAUUCUCUUCCUUUAGUUCAUUUACCCCCCUUUCAAUGUUGUCCAGCUUAGUGAUAAUCAUUCUGUUCUGCUCCACGAGAAACCCUUCACACUGACCUAUUCUUCUCUCGAUUGACUCAAACGUUCUGUGCAACUGCUGCAGAGACUCAUGGCAUCUGGCAGCACAACGGCACCGACCACUAGUGUGAGCCUCGUCACGAUAUGGUUCUGCGAAGGAAGUCUCACGUUCAGUUGCGUUUUGAUUUGCCACUUGGAUCUCAAGAUUAUGUAUAGUUUCCCUGAGAGUCCUGUUCUCUUUCUCUAAUUGACACAUCUUACUGUUAGCCUUGGCCAGCUUUACAAUGAGAAGCGCUCUCUCUCGCAGUUGAUGUGAUUCCUCUGUAUUAUCUCUGUCCGUAGGUGAAUUAUUUAAUGUUUCCUCUGACAUUUCUUUAACAGUAUAAAAGCACAGUGUCAAAAGAAAAAAACUUUGUAUGAAUUGUAUGAAUGUAAAAGUAUUAUCUUUGUCAAAGACAACUCGCUUUGCAAAAACGACUCGCUGUUUCUGAAGCCGCACGAAG